rnacentral:sRNA from 1 species
AUUCUGCCCAUGCGGGGAAGGAUGAGAAGCUUCGACUAAGGUUCGACUUGAGCGCCAGCGAGAGAGCGUUGCCGCAGGCAACGACCCGAAGGACGAAGCGCGCAGCGCUGAGUAAUCCUUCCCCCACCACCA